rnacentral:rRNA from 1 species
UACGUAGGGUGCAAGCGUUAAUCGGAAUUACUGGGCGUAAAGCGUGCGCAGGCGGUUGUGUAAGACAGAUGUGAAAUCCCCGGGCUCAACCUGGGAACUGCAUUUGUGACUGCACAGCUGGAGUGCGGCAGAGGGGGAUGGAAUUCCGCGUGUAGCAGUGAAAUGCGUAGAGAUGCGGCGGAACACCGAUGGCGAAGGCAGCCCCCUGGGCUGAGAUUGACGCUCAGGCACGAAAGCGUGGGGAGCAAACAGG